rnacentral:rRNA from 1 species
GAUGAACGCUGGCGGCGUGCCUAAUACAUGCAAGUCGAGCGAACGGACGAGAAGCUUGCUUCUCUGAUGUUAGCGGCGGACGGGUGAGUAACACGUGGAUAACCUACCUAUAAGACUGGGAUAACUUCGGGAAACCGUAGCUAAUACCGGAUAAUAUUUUGAACCGCAUGGUUCAAAAGUGAAAGACGGUCUUGCUGUCACUUAUAGAUGGAUCCGCGCUGCAUUAGCAAGUUGGUAAGGUAACGGCUUACCAAGUCAACGAUGCAUAGCCGACCUGAGAGGGUGAUCGGCCACACUGGAACUGAGACACGGUCCAGACUCCUACGGGAGGCAGCAGUAGGGAAUCUUCCGCAAUGGGCGAAAGCCUGACGGAGCAACGCCGCGUGAGUGAUGAAGGUCUUCGGAUCGUAAAACUCUGUUAUUAGGGAAGAACAUAUGUGUAAGUAACUGUGCACAUCUUGACGGUACCUAAUCAGAAAGCCACGGCUAACUACGUG